UAUCGAUUAUAUAUAGAAUCAGUAAGAAAAAUCUAGAAUUUGUGCCACAAGCUAUACAAAACAAACUAAAUCUGUUUGGCAACUGAAAAAUCAUAUAACCAUAUAGAUGCUAACAGUAACAGAAAAUGAUCCCAUUUGGCUUACUUGCAGAAUAUUCUUCUAUCCUAUAUCACCGUUCUCUCUCGUAUCUUCCAGAAGACGGUUUCCUUCCUGCUGAUCCUGAUUGUCACUUUGGAUUAAUUGUUUCUGCCAUUGGCACUGCUGAUCUUACAUCAAUUGAAAGAGUUGAGAGUUUGGUAUUUUAACAGCAACUUCUUCGGGAAAAUUCGCCUUAGCUUCAUUCCCUCUGAUCCUCCGAGCUUUAGUGUCAUAAGCUCUUGCAGCUUCCUCAGCACUGUUAAUAGUUCCAAGCCAAACCCUGACCUCUUUUGUUGGAUCACAUAUCUCAGCAGCCCAUUUAUCCCAUGAGCAUUAGCGGAUUCCUCUGUAUUGAUCCGUCCUCUUUCUCUUUGAGGAGUUCUGAAAAUCUACUCAGAUACAAUAGAUUUGACGGAUUUACAACCUUAAAGAGAAAAUAGGUAGAGAAUCUUUCAGAUCAAUGUUUGAAGCAACAAAAUUGCAAAACAAAUUGAGGAAGUAGAAUCUGAACUAAACGCCUACAUAGGUUUGAGAAAUUGAACAAAGCUUUCAGAUAUUUUAACCCCAUUGUUUCAUUUACAUCCAUAUGUUAGGCGUACAAAAAGAAUAAAUUAGUAACUUG
rnacentral:lncRNA from 1 species